ACACCAGGUUGACCUCGGAUCAGGUAGGGAUACCCGCUGAACUUAAGCAUAUCAAUAAGCGGAGGAAAAGAAACCAACAGGGAUUGCCUCAGUAACGGCGAGUGAAGCGGCAAGAGCUCAAAUUUGAAAUCCGGCCCCCCUGGGGGCCUGAGUUGUAAUUUGCAGAGGAUGCUUCGGGCGCGACCGCGGUCCAAGUCCCCUGGAACGGGGCGUCGUAGAGGGUGAGAAUCCCGUCUCCGGCCGGCCGGUCUCGCCCGUGUGAAGCUCCUUCGACGAGUCGAGUUGUUUGGGAAUGCAGCUCCAAAUGGGUGGUAAAUUUCAUCUAAAGCUAAAUACUGGUCGGAGACCGAUAGCGCACAAGUAGAGUGAUCGAAAGAUGAAAAGCACUUUGAAAAGAGAGUUAAACAGCAUGUGAAAUUGUUGAAAGGGAAGCGCUUGCGACCAGAGUCGGCCGUGGGGGUUCAGCGGGCAUUCGUUGCCCGUGCAAUCCCCCGCGGCCGGGCCAGCGUCGGUUUCGACGGCCGGUCAAAGGCCCCCGGAAUGUGUCGCCUCUCGGGGCGUCUUAUAGCCGGGGGUGCAAUGCGGCCAGUCGGGACCGAGGAACGCGCUCCGGCACGGACGCUGGCUUAAUGGUCGUCAGCGACCCG
rnacentral:rRNA from 1 species